rnacentral:rRNA from 1 species
UACGGAGGGGACUAGCGUUGUUCGGAAUUACUGGGCGUAAAGCGCGCGUAGGCGGAUUUGCAAGUUGGGGGUGAAAGCCCGAGGCUCAACCUCGGAACUGCCCUCGAUACUGCAAAUCUCGAGUCCGAGAGAGGUGAGUGGAAUUCCUAGUGUAGAGGUGAAAUUCGUAGAUAUUAGGAAGAACACCAGUGGCGAAGGCGGCUCACUGGCUCGGUACUGACGCUGAGGCGCGAAAGCUAGGGGAGCAAACAGG